CUAGUGGUAAUCUCGCACUUGGAGCACCCAUACGAGUACCUGGUUACUCAUUUAUUUGCUUCGGGAAGGUCUGAGAUAAGGCAUGUGAAUAUGCCUCAGCAAGGCAACUCUUUGAAAAGGGUGUUCGCUACCAGCAAUGCAUCAGUUGUGGAUGACGCAGUGUCCUGUGCGUGGCAGGGGAGACGGAUUGUAACCGCCGUGUGUGUGUGUCGCCUCUCGGGGAGGCAUGCAGCGUGGGGGGCAGUUCUUUCUUCGCGCCACGUCAGGCACUGAUUGAAAACAGCGGAUUGCCAGCCAUUUAAGUCAAAUAUGCGAGCUACUAUCGCUGAGGGAGUAUCCUUCCUCCGGAGUAGAACUCAAUUCAGACUAAUCUACCACUAG
rnacentral:RNase_P_RNA from 2 species